rnacentral:rRNA from 1 species
UACGAAGGGGGCUAGCGUUGCUCGGAAUGACUGGGCGUAAAGGGCGCGUAGGCGGAUGGCACAGUCAGAUGUGAAAUUCCUGGGCUUAACCUGGGGGCUGCAUUUGAUACGUGUUGUCUAGAGUGAGGAAGAGGGUUGUGGAAUUCCCAGUGUAGAGGUGAAAUUCGUAGAUAUUGGGAAGAAUACCGGUGGCGAAGGCGGCAACCUGGUCCUUGACUGACGCUGAGGCGCGAAAGCGUGGGGAGCAAACAGG